UAACGCGUGGGUGACGUACCUGUUGGUGGGGAAUAACCGCCCGAAAGGGUGGCUAAUUCCGCAUAAGUCCUUCGGUUCAGUACUGGAGGGGAAAGCUUCUGGUCAAACAGAGGCGCCGAUGGAGCGGCCCGCGUCCGAUUAGCUGGUUGGUGGGGUAACGGCCUACCAAGGCGACGAUCGGUAGCUGGUCUUAGAGGAUGAUCAGCCAGACUGGGACUGAGACACGGCCCAG
rnacentral:rRNA from 1 species